GGGAUGUAGCUCAGUUGGUAGAGUACUUGCCGCUAAUGCACAAGGCCCUGGGUUCAAUCCCCAGCACCACCA
rnacentral:tRNA from 1 species